GGCGGGGGGGCGGGCUACACAUGCAGUCGGACGGUAGCACAGAGGAGCUUGCUCCUUGGGUGACGAGUGGCGGACGGGUGAGUAGUGUCUGGGGAUCUGCCCGAUAGAGGGGGAUAACCACUGGAAACGGUGGCUAAUACCGCAUAACGUCGCAAGACCAAAGAGGGGGACCUUCGGGCCUCUCACUAUCGGAUGAACCCAGAUGGGAUUAGCUAGUAGGCGGGGUAGUGGCCCACCUAGGCGACGAUCCCUAGCUGGUCUGAGAGGAUGACCAGCCACACUGGAACUGAGACACGGUCCAGACUCCUACGGGAGGCAGCAGUGGGGAAUAUUGCACAAUGGGCGCAAGCCUGAUGCACCCAUGCCGCGUGUAUGAAGAAGGCCUUCGGGUUGUAAAGUACUUUCAGCGGGGAGGAAGGCGACGGGGUUAAUAACCCUGUCGAUUGACGUUACCCGCAGAAGAAGCACCGGCUAACUCCGUGCCAGCAGCCGCGGUAAUACGGAGGGUGCAAGCGUUAAUCGGAAUUACUGGGCGUAAAGCGCACGCAGGCGGUCUGUUAAGUCAUAUGUGAAAUCCCCGGGCUUAACCUGGGAACUGCAUUUGAAACUGGCACGCUUGACUCU
rnacentral:rRNA from 1 species